ACGGAGGGUCCAAGCGUUAUCCGGAUUUAUUGGGUUUAAAGGGUCCGUAGGCGGAUUUUUAAGUCAGUGGUGAAAGCCUGCAGCUCAACUGCAGAACUGCCAUUGAUACUGGAAAUCUUGAGUGUAUUUGAAGUGGGCGGAAUGUGUCAUGUAGCGGUGAAAUGCAUAGAUAUGACACAGAACACCGAUUGCGAAGGCAGCUCACUAAACUACAACUGACGCUGAGGGACGAAAGCGUGGGGAGCGAACAGG
rnacentral:rRNA from 1 species